GUUUGAUCCUGGCUCAGGAUGAACGCUAGCGGCAGGCCUAAUACAUGCAAGUCGAGGGGUAACAGGAAUAGCAAUAUUUGCUGACGACCGGCGCACGGGUGCGUAACACGUAUGUAAUCUGCCCAUAUCAGGGGGAUAGCCCGGAGAAAUCCGGAUUAAUACCCCAUAAUAGUUGAAGCGGCAUCGCUUUGAUUUGAAAACUACGGUGGAUAUGGAUGAACAUGCGACUGAUUAGUUUGUUGGUGAGGUAACGGCUCACCAAGACUACGAUCAGUAGGGGUACUGAGAGGUUAAACCCCCACACUGGUACUGAGACACGGACCAGACUCCUACGGGAGGCAGCAGUAAGGAAUAUUGGACAAUGGGCGAGAGCCUGAUCCAGCCAUGCCGCGUGCAGGAAGAAGGCCCUAUGGGUCGUAAACUGCUUUUGAACGAGAGAAAACCCGGGUACGUGUACCCGGCUGAUAGUAUCGUUAGAAUAAGCAUCGGCUAACUUCGUGCCAGCAGCCGC
rnacentral:rRNA from 1 species